rnacentral:ribozyme from 11 species
CGCCGAGGGCGAGGAACCUCCGGAGCCCAAAAUGAAGACGGUGCCGGAAACGACCGAGGGAUACGAGCUAAUGAACA